rnacentral:rRNA from 1 species
CCUACGGGUGGCAGCAGUGAGGAAUAUUGGUCAAUGGGCGCGAGCCUGAACCAGCCAAGUCGCGUGAGGGAAGACGGUCCUAUGGAUUGUAAACCUCUUUUGUCGGGGAGCAAAAGACGCCACGCGUGGCGUUCCGCGAGUACCAGAAGAAAAAGCAUCGGCUAACUCCGUGCCAGCAGCCGCGGUAAUACGGAGGAUCCGAGCGUUAUCCGGAUUUAUUGGGUUUAAAGGGUGCGAAGGCGGAAGAUCAAGUCAGCGGUAAAAUUGGGGGGCUCAACCUCUUAGAGCCGUUGAAACUGGUUUUCUUGAGUGAGGGAGAGGUAGGCGGAAUGCGUGGUGUAGCGGUGAAAUGCAUAGAUAUCACGAAGAACUCCGAUUGCGAAGGCAGCAUACCGG